rnacentral:rRNA from 1 species
UACAGGGGGUGCAAACGUUGCUCGGAAUUAUUGGGCGUAAAGCGCGCGUAGGCGGCCACUUAAGUCGGAUGUGAAAGCCCCCGGCUCAACUGGGGAGGGUCAUUCGAUACUGUUCGACUCGAAGACAGGAGAGGGAAGUGGAAUUCCCGGUGUAGUGGUGAAAUGCGUAGAUAUCGAGAGGAACACCUGCGGCGAAGGCGGGUUGCUGGGCUGACACUGACGCUGAUGCGCGAAAGCUAGGGGAGCGAACGGG